rnacentral:tRNA from 1 species
GCCCCUGUAGCUCAGAGGAUAGAGUAGCGGAUUCCUAAUCCGUUGGUCACAGGUUCGAGUCCUGUCAGGGGUACCA